AUGGGUGACAAAAAGCGUCCCAGGCGUGUUUUUAUGCAAGGCGUUGACAAAUAUUCAUCCAAAUACAUCGCUGAGGUGAAGUACAAGCGUGGUGUAAUGUUUAUGAUAGCUCGUCGUGUAAUUCAUGAACUUUUUGAAAUUGUACAGUAUUUAUCGACGUGCGGAGAGAGAGUCGAAGAGGCAGAAGAAGAGGACGACGAUUACAACCUCCCGCAAUCUGAAGAACCUGCAUUCCAGGUGGUCGGCUCUGUGUCUACCCCCUGCAGCGAGAAAGCAAACUUUUUGUUGGAGCAAUACUCGUCGCUAAGCAGAGAGGAGCUUCUUCCACGCCUCCUAGACUGCGACGUGGUGGUGUACAACAUCUCAGAGAAUGCAACACUAAAUGACAUUGAAGAGGCAACUUGGGCAAUCACAGCCCUUCAUGGUGAAAGGGAACAUUUCAAGUCGAAGAAAAUGUUCAUUUUAGUCUCAACGAUAAUGACGUGGGCCAUGACCAAACCACCGAAUACGGAAGAACCAGAUUUGAUGGUGGCAGAGGAGGAGUUCAGAAAAAGACGGCCUCAUCCCAGUUUCAAACACCACAACAAUAUGGAGAAACAUGUGCUUAAACUGGGAACAGGAAAAAAAAACAAGUUGAAGGGUUACGUUGUGGCUGCUGGUCUUCAAUAUGGGAAGGGGGAGAAUCUCUUUCACUACUUUUUCAAGGUGUCUUGGCUCUCAGAGUGUUCACAAGUUCCCAUAUUUGGAGAGGGCACAAAUUUCAUCCCCACUAUCCACGUGGUUGACCUUGCUCAGGUGAUACAAAAUUUAAUUGAGGUCAAACCCAAGUCCAAAUACAUCCUUGCUAUUGAUGACUCCAAGAACGUACUGGAGGACAUUGUAAAGGUCAUAAGUGAUGUGCUCGGGCCAGGAAGCGUAAACAAAGUGCCAGAGAAGGAAGCCAUCACCAUGAAGGCCUAUAAGCCAGAAGAACUUGAGUAUUUCAGCGUUAACCUUCGCCUGGAUGCUUAUAUUGUAAAAGACUUAUUCAGCUUCCCCUGGGUAGCAGAAGGUGGCAUGAUUGAAAAUAUAGACCUCCUUGUGGAAGAGUACCGAAACACUAGGAAACUACUUCCGAUCAGAAUCUGCCUUACUGGACCUCCCGCCGUGGGUAAAAGUACGGUCGCAGAAAAGCUGUGUGAGCAUUACCGGAUACAUCACAUCAAAAUCCGAGAGGUCAUUGAAGAAAAGAUGAAAGAGCUGGAAGGUAUCAUGAACAACAGUGAACUUGAUGUCAGCGAAGCAGAAAUGGCACAGAGCCAACUGGAAAAUCUGAAAACAAGCAUGGAAAGCAAUGCAGGACGACUGGAGGAUGAUCAACUUUUAGAAGUUUUGACAGAAAAGCUGAAUUCCAAGCCAUGUAGGAACCAAGGAUUUGUUUUCUAUGGUUUCCCGAGGACCUUCGAGCAAGCUGAGAUGAUGUUUAGUGCUGAGGAUACAGACAGCGACGCGCCCAGCAAAACACCCGCGCACAACAGCAUCACUCCAGAGUUUGUGUUUGCCCUGGAAGCAUCAGAUGAGUUCCUGACUAAAAAAGUACAAGGUCUUCCUCAGAGUGUGGCCGAGGAAAGAGGCCUCACCCAGGAUGAGUUUAUUCCUCGUCUGUCCAGAUUCAGACAACUGAUCAGGGCUGGGGAAACUUCUCUCGACUACUUUGAUGAGUUGGAAAUAUACCCAUCUUAUAUAGAGGUCAACGUGGACGAUCCUGAGUUCACGAACAUCGUGAACAAUAUAAUCGAGGUGGUGGGACCUGCCAAGAACUAUGGCCUCAGCCCUGAAGAGCAGGAGGAGGAGGACAGGAGGCGAGAAAGGGAGAGGCAGCAGAAACUGGCUGAGGAGGCAGCUGAGAGGAAACGCAGGAAAGAGGCCUCGCUAGCUGAGAUUGCAGCGCAGUAUGAAGAAUGGCAAAAGAAUCUGGAAGAGGUGAAGAGGCAGGAACACGAGCUUCUGGAGGCUAAAGCUCUCCCGCUGAGGAACUACUUGAUGAAGUACGUGAUGCCAUCACUCACUGAAGCCUUGCAAGAAUGCUCCAAGAUCAAACCAGAUGACCCUGUCAGCUUUUUGGCUGAGUAUCUACUUCGUAUGGACAAAAAAUGAUAAUGAAACUUUGACAGUUGCGACGUUAGAGAGGUUGAAUUCACAAUUGGAGCAAUCACUGAUGUGAACGCACGUCCUUCCAGCCCUCCACCUGAUCUCGGUGUCUCUCCAGCAGCUGGUUGAGAAGUUUGAUGGACAUUAGGUGGCUCUGCAUGUCACGACUCAGCUGGUUGCUGGUGGCUGUCAGCUUGGUCUGGGCCUGAGAGGCUUGGUCCAGCACCUGAGAGUGGAGGGGGGCGCAUCUAUAAGACGACCACUCCUUUCCAAAAAAUACCAAACUAAGACAAAAUUUAAAUCAUGUUUUCAACCACUGGUUGAUUACAAUAAAACAGUUAAUAGCAAAUAAAAGCAUAUUCUUUCCAAC